UACGUAGGGUGCGAGCGUUGUCCGGAAUUAUUGGGCGUAAAGAGCUUGUAGGCGGUCUGUCGCGUCUGCUGUGAAAAUCCGGGGCUCAACCCCGGACUUGCAGUGGGUACGGGCAGACUAGAGUGUGGUAGGGGAGAAUGGAAUUCCUGGUGUAGCGGUGAAAUGCGCAGAUAUCAGGAAGAACACCCGUGGCGAAAGCGGCUCUCUGGAAACGGUACUGACGCUGAGACGCGAAAGCGUGGGGAGCGAACAGG
rnacentral:rRNA from 1 species